rnacentral:rRNA from 1 species
ACUCAAAUGAAUAGACGGGGGCCCGCACAAGCAGCGGAGCGUGUGGUUUAAUUCGACGCAACGCGCAGAACCUUACCAAGGCUUGACAUGCACAGGAAUGUCCGGGAAACCGGGCAGCCCUUCGGGGCCUGUGCACAGAUGCUGCAUGGCUGUCGUCAGCUCGUGCCGUGAGGUGUUGGGUUAAGUCCCGCAACGAGCGCAACCCUCGUCGCUAGUUGAAUCUCUCUAGCGAGACCGCUGCGCGAAACGCAGAGGAAGGUGGGGAUGACGUCAAGUCAGCACGGCUCUUACGUCUUGGGCUACACACACGCUACAAUGGCCGGUACAACGGGUUGCCAAGCCGCGAGGCGGAGCUAAUCCCAUCAAAACCGGCCUCAGUUCAGAUUGCAGGCUGAAACCCGCCUGCAUGAAGGCGGAGUUGCUAGUAACCGCAGGUCAGCACACUGCGGUGAAUACGUUCCCGGGCCUUGUACACACCGCCCGU